rnacentral:tRNA from 1 species
UUGAUUAAAACCAAAUUAGAGGUAUACUACUGUUAAUAGUAUUAUUGAUUUUAAAAUCUAAUCAAA